rnacentral:rRNA from 1 species
AUUGAACGCUGGCGGCAGGCCUAACACAUGCAAGUCGAACGAGUGGCGGACGGGUGAGUAAUGUCUGGGAAACUGCCUGAUGGAGGGGGAUAACUACUGGAAACGGUAGCUAAUACCGCAUACCAUCAGAUGUGCCCAGAUGGGAUUAGAUAGUUGGUGGGGUAACGGCUCACCCAGGCGACGAUCCCUCGCUGGUCUGAGAGGAUGCGCAGCCACACUGGAAUUGAGACACGGUACCGACUCCUACGUGAGGCAGCGGUGGGGAGUAUAGCACUAUGGAAGCAAGCCUGAUGCAGCCAUGCCGCGUGUAUGAAGAAGGCCUUCGGGUUGUAAAGGACUUUCAGCGGGGAGGCGUUACCCGAAGAAGAAGCACCGGCUAACUCCGUGCCAGCAGCCGCGGUAAUUC